UGAGAGCGCCUUGGACCGCAAGAAGAUCCAACCAGUCCAUACUCCAGGAAAUAAUGCCUGGCUGCUCACUGGAGGGAAGGAUAUUGGAGGCAAAGAUGAAGUACUUUUGCCACAUCAUGAGAAGACAGGAUACCUUAGAGAAGAGAAUGAUGUUGUGGAAAAUGGAAGGAAAAAGGAAAAGGGGCCGACCAAGGGCAAGAUAGAUGGAUAGUAUCCUUGAAGUGACUGGCUUGACCUUGAAGGAGCUGGGGGUGGCAACGGCCGACAGGGAGCUCGGGCAUGGGCUGGUCCAUGAGGUUACAAAGAGUCAGAAGCGACUGAGCGAAUAAACAACAUUGGUGAGAAGUCAAGAUUAAAGAUAGACAUUCUGGAGGCCAAUGGACUGGAAUGGGCCACUUCACAAAAGACGAUCUACUACUCUGGACAAGAGGAACACUGAACAAAAAAGUCCUGGCAGACCGUGCAAAAAGAAUCUGUGAACCCCACUUCCUCCAAGGUGAACUGAACCACCUAAACUGAGCUCUACAGACCAAUGGAUACUCCACCACAGACAUCAGAAGAACUGCAAAGCCAAGAACAAGCCACAAGAGUAAAGAUCCACCCAGAGGAAGGAUCCACCCAGAGGAAAAGUGUUCUUUCCAUACAUUAAGGGAACCAUUGACCGCAUAGGGAAGCUGAUGAAGAAACACACCCUACAAACUAUCUAUAGACCCACUAAGAAAAUCCUAAAAAUGCUACGUUCAGCGUAGGACAAGAGGGAUCCUCUCAUCUCUGCAGGAGUCUACAUUAUACUAUGCAGCUGUGGACAAGUCUACAUAGGGACCACGAAACACAGCAAUACCCAAACACAAAUCAAGGACCAUGAAAGGCACUGCAAACUAAUUCAACCAGAGAAGUCAGCCAUAGCAGAGCACUUGAUGAACCAACCUGGACACAGAAUAUUAUUUGAGAACACAGAAAUGCUGGACCACUCUUAACAACCACCAUGCCAGACUACACAGAGAAGCCAUUGAAAUCCACAAGCAUGAGGAUAAUUUCAACAGAAAGGAAGAAGCCAUGAAAAUGAACAAAAACUGGUUACCAAUAUUUAAAAAGGCUCUAGAAUCAGGACAGUAAAAUAAAGAGCAACACUCAAAAAACUGGAAUUCCAGACAGGAAACGAUCAGGGACAGGCAAAACCUCCCAACAAAGGAUUCCCCAAGGCAGGAAGCAGCCAGCCUUGGAACCUGCAAGGCUAUCCAAUGCUAAUCAGGGUGGGCAAUUUGCAACAUUCACACUUGCCUCCAACAUACGAGGUUUUUUUCCCACCCUGAACAUUCCACAGAUAUAUUAACCUCACUUACCUAGUUUCCAACAACCACACAACCUCUGAAGAUGCCUGCCAUGUAUAUGGGUGAAAUGUCAAGAGAGCAUGCUUCUGGGACAUAGCCAUACAGUCCAGAAAACUCAGCAACUCAGUGAUUCCGGCCAUGCAUUGGAUUGCUCAAUGGUCCUGUUUUGCUAUACGCCUGCAAAACGUAGACUGUCUACAGGUAUCACACUCAACUCCAUCAACGUUGCCUCCAAAAAAUCCUGCAAAUCUUUUGGGAAGACAGGCAGACAAAUGUCAUUGUGCUGGAAGAAGCAAAAUCCACCAGCAUUGAAGCAAUGUUCCUAUGCCAUCAACUCCACUGGACUGGCCGCAUUGUCUGAAUGCCCGAUCACCAUCUCCCAAAGCAGUUACUAUACUUUCAACUCAAGAAUGGAAAAUGGAAUGUUGGUGGGCAGGAAAAGAGAUUUGAAGAUGGGCUUAAAGCUAACCUUACAAACUGGCAUAGACACAGAGAACUGGGAAGCCCUGGCCCUUGAGCUCUCUACCUAUAGGUCAGCUGUGACCAGCAGAGCUGUGGAAUUUGAAGAGGCACAAAUGGAGGGCAAAAGGGAGAAAUGUGCCAAGAGGAAGGAGUGUCAAGCCAACCCUGACUGGGACUGCCUUCCACCUGGUCAAGAAUAGGUCUUUACAGUCAACUACGUACCCACCGCCAAGACACUACACUUGGAAGGCCAUCAUACUCAGACAAUGAGGGAUCGCCUAAAUGGCAGUACUCAUAUGUGGCAGGUACUGGCUUGUUCAGUAGACUCUCCUCGACAGUUCCAUUUGGCGGGAAGCCUUAGCAUUGAACGGUUGUGUUGCUAAAGUGCAAAGUAUGGAACCCUGCGCAGACGGUUGGUCAAUGUGACUUAAGCAAUGUGCAGUCACUGAAUUCUUGACAGAAGAAGGUGUCACCCCAAAGGAGAUUCAUCAGAGAAUGCAAGCUGUUUAUGGUGAUUCUGUUGAUGUGAGUAUUGUGGGCAAAUAAGUUUAAAGAUGUUGAGGUGGGAACAUCUGACUUGCAUGACAAAGAAAGAGUUGGAUGCCCUGUGGCAGCAACCACAGAGUUUCACAAACAAAAGGUUGACAGAUUGAUUCAGAACGAUCAUCAUAUCACUCAGAAAUUUCAAGUAUAAUCGGCAUUUCACAAGAAUGUAUGGGUCACAUUAUUGCUUUCUUGGCUAUUGGAAGAUCUGUGCAGGAUGGGUACUGUGAGACGCUGGUUGUGGAAACAGAGUGUCGACUUCUUCCGUGACGGCUUCAGAAAACUUGUUUAUCAUUGGCAGAAAUGUAUCCAAUUGUCUGGUGAUUAUGUGGAAAAGUGAAUAGUGGUAGUCCAACUCCCUUCUGCCAUGCAGGAAAAGCACAAUCAAAGCACCCUAAUAGAUGGUCUUCCAGCCUUUGUAAUAAUAAUAAUAAGAGCAACCACAACAGCCAUCUGUUGGCAAGGAAAAAAGGCUUUUGGGGUAAGGGAGGCAGGGGGAGGAGCAAGAAAGAAGAGGAAAUGCUUGGUGUGGGAGUAGGAGGAGGAAACCGUGGAGGCCCUCAGGAUGAUUCGCAGAGCCCCAAGGGCUUCGUGGAGCAAACUUUGAGAACCACUAUUCAGGAGGAUGCAGUCUAAUGUCCAUAAGAAAGAUUAUAAGGAUACAAAUCUGACAUUAGGCAAGACAGUAUUCAGCAAUUAGUAAGAGAACACUGUGUAUUCUUAGGAUUAAGUUCUGAUGACCUGAAAGUGGCCAUUAUUGAACAAAGGAACUUCCAUUGAAAUCUCCAAAAUGAAAUUGUUGCAUGAAAUGUACCAAUAAGUUUAAUUGCACCAUCUUUGGAUUAAACCAUAUUCAUAUAGCAAUACUAGGAUGUGAAUAAUUGCUGUGAUUAUUCUAAGUUAUCUGGAUCCAUGAGAUCAUCUGCAAUUUUCAGCAAACUUGGAUCAAUCCACCCCAUAUUAAUAAAUGACAGUAAUGUGAA